rnacentral:rRNA from 1 species
UACGAAGGGGGCUAGCGUUGCUCGGAAUCACUGGGCGUAAAGCGCACGUAGGCGGACUCUUAAGUCGGUGGUGAAAUCCUGGAGCUCAACUCCAGAACUGCCUUCGAUACUGAGAGUCUCGAGUCCGGGAGAGGUGAGUGGAACUGCGAGUGUAGAGGUGAAAUUCGUAGAUAUUCGCAAGAACACCAGUGGCGAAGGCGGCUCACUGGCCCGGUACUGACGCUGAGGUGCGAAAGCCAGGGGA